UAAACUAAAAAAAAAAUCGCCUAAAACACACACGCAAGUGGUGUGGUGGGUUUGGACAUGCCUGCUUUAAGUUUCUUCGUGAAACGAGAACGAUCGCUAUCGAUUAGUUUUGAACCUAUAUCGAUUGAUUUCAGUUGUUGUCGUUUCAUAAAGGUGCAUAAAGAGUGGUUGAUCGGGAAUACCUUCCCGCACAAAAGGGCUGAUUUGCGUCAAAAAUACACAUAUUUGGGAGACGUAUUACAUGCCAAAAGCAAAAAGAGAAGCAGCACAUUUCACCUAACGGCAAUAGUAUCGAGUCCGUAGAAUUUUUGCCAGGAGUAGUAUCUGCAACAACCUGGCUGGAAUUGAACAAAUUGCCAUGGAUGACUGUCUUGUCGCAGUGGGAGGUUAGUUUUCCUGCUAGACAAGCUUCUUUGCGACAACACUCGAAGGUCAGUCACAUUAUCCACAGUUUCCCGCACCUGGCCGAGGAAUUCGGAUACCAGCUGUUGGACAUUGAUUACCGGAAGCAAAACCUGGGAAAUCCGGCAGAUCCUUCCAAGAAGCGGAAUUUAUUGUUUGAGCCUAUCGCACAAUAUAUCAGCAAAAACACCAAAGAUCCGUCUGCCAAAGAUUUAUGCCGUGGCCUCAAAGAAAAUAUGUUUGAUUUUUUUAUUCCGAAUGUUCAAGGGGUGUCCGUUAUUUUCACGGCACAUUGCAAAGAACGAUCUACUCCAAUUUGUCAUUAUUUUGAGUUGGUAAUAGACCCUAGAGAUUAAUCGUAGAUGUAGUUGCGGGAUGAAAUUGUGUUAAGGUCAGAAGCGAAUGGAAAUUUUUUUAAAAAUAAAAUGCCAUGCAUAGAA